rnacentral:lncRNA from 1 species
UCAGUAUUUUAGUUACAGACUAUUUCAAAAUCAUGUUAUACGAUUGGUCUUGCAUACUCAGAUAAUACAAUUGUCAUGCAUUCAUGGUCGGUUAUCUCAUGUUGUUUGGUUAGUCCUUAUCUCAUAUGCAUAGUACUCUACAGUUUCAGUUCAAUUAUUCAGACUAAGUACAGUCCAGUCUUACAUGACCAGUAUUAAGCAAUCAGUCAUUCAAUUAAUCAGAU